GCAGAGCAUCCUACGGGAGGCAGCAGUGGGGAAUAUUGCACAAUGGGCGCAAGCCUGAUGCAGCCAUGCCGCGUGUAUGAAGAAGGCCUUCGGGUUGUAAAGUACUUUCAGCAGUGAGGAAGGUGGGUAUGUUAAUAGCAUACUCAUUUGACGUUAGCUGCAGAAGAAGCACCGGCUAACUCCGUGCCAGCAGCCGCGGUAAUACGGAGGGUGCGAGCGUUAAUCGGAAUUACUGGGCGUAAAGCGCAUGCAGGUGGUUUGUUAAGUCAGAUGUGAAAGCCCGGGGCUCAACCUCGGAAUUGCAUUUGAAACUGGACAAACUAGAGUACUGUAGAGGGGGUAGAAUUUCAGGUGUAGCGGUGAAAUGCGUAGAGAUCUGAAGGAAUACCGGUGGCGAAGGCGGCCCCCUGGACAGAUACUGACACUCAGAUGCGAAAGCGUGGGGAGCAAACAGGAUUAGAUACCCUGGUAG
rnacentral:rRNA from 1 species